rnacentral:lncRNA from 1 species
UGGCACUGUGUUGUAAUGAGUUAAGCUUCCUCUUGCAACUCUGGCAUCCUCUAUGAACGCAGGUUCAUGUUCCAAUUGCUCCAUUUUGGAUUGAGUUCCCUGCUAAAGCACCUGAGAAAGCAGUGGAAGAUGGCCCAUGUCCUUGGAUCCCUGAACCCACAUGGAAGACCUGGAUGAAGUUUCUGGCUCCUGGCUUUAUCCUGGGCCAGUCCUGGCCUUCCUGGUCAUUUGGGGAGUGAACCAGUGGAUGGAACAUUUCUCUCUGUAUGUAACUCUGCCUUUCAAAUAAAUAAAAUAAAUUAUUUAGAAAUUAAAUGUUCUCAGUGAUAAUUUUUCUAUAAUUUUGUAACUUGAAUUCCUCAUUAUAUUGAAAUUCACUUUUAAUACAGGGGAAUUUAAAAUAGCAAAUUUGCAAAUAUAAAACAUGAUUUCUGGAAUAUCAAGUGAAUUGCUGCAAGAUUAUUUGCACUCAUAAAUUUAUGCUCAUAUUCUUACAACUGUUAAAUUUCUAAAGAAACUAAAGAGAAGAAAAUCAGUAAAUGUUUUUUUUGUGUGUGAUAAUGAACCAGUUUUUUCUAACCACCAACUAUUUGAAUCUGGAAUUAUUCAACCAAGCAUAGAAAUGUUCCCAAUAAAUAAGCCUCAGUAAUCAAGACUAUGCAGAGUCAAUAAAUGAAAGGGUUCUCUUUUUCCUUGUUUCAUCUACACUGAAAAUCUGCAGACUGUUUAAGAAAUCAGUUACAAUGAAGAUCUUUUUCUUUCCCUCCAUGUUUCUCUUCUUUGGUGUCCUCAUUCUACCAGUGGGCUCUAGACUUCGUUUUACCAUCCCUGGUACCAUUCCUACAGGAUUGACAACAAUAUGUAUUCCAAACCUUCGAAUAUUAGAAAUGAAGGCAACUUCUUCCCCAAUAUCUAAAAGCAAACAACUUGAGAAAAAAGAAUUCAGCACAGCCAACCGUAUACAGAUCCCGACGGAAAUCAAUUGGUGGCAAGCUUGUUUAUAUAUUGGUGGACAAUGUAGACCUCAGUGUGGUAACAAAGAGUUUAGACUUUCAUUCUGUGAAAGUCCUAAAUUUGCUUGCUGUUUAAGAGAAUGUGAUCCAAACAACAAGGUAUAAUUGAAGAGACACAGAUGCAAGAAGCAGAGACAUCUUAAUUAAGUCUUUCUAUCAUUGCAUUACUUCAUUUAUGGUCUAGUAUUUCUGUGCAUGUAUAUCUAUAAAGAAUUAAAAAAAUUAAACAAAAUAUUUGUCAACCUUAACCAUUAUUGUGCUUUGUACCUACUUGGAAGAAAGAAAUAGAAUAAAGACUGGGACUUUGAGUUUAUGAAUAGAAGC